AAGUCGUAACAAGGUUUCCGUAGGUGAACCUGCGGAAGGAUCAUUAACACGUAUCCAACGUUAAAAACCCCGUGCAUUUUAACCCUGCUCUCCUCACCUCAACAAGCAAUCUCUGGUAAAUCACACCAAACAGUUUGAUUCAGAGACCUCUUGAAGACGUGUGGAUGGAGCGGUAGAGCAAAUAGACUUGGUUUCCGAAAGGAUAACUGAUACUUAUUCAGCGGACAGGUCUCUGGGGCUUCGGCUCCCCAUAUUAAACCCGUAUGUGAAAGUCGGGCUUGCAAACUACAGGCCCACAAAACGAACAACUGUUAACAAUGGAUAUCUUGGUUCUC
rnacentral:misc_RNA from 1 species